AUGGCUGAAAGGCUUUGGGGAAGUGGUGUGUUUGCGGUCGUGUUUGGGGAAGCAGUGUGUUUGUGUGGUGUUUGGGGAAGUGGUGUGUUUACGUUGUUUGGGGAAGUGGUGUGUUUGUGUGGUGUUUGGGGAAGUGGUGUGUUUGCGUUGUGUUUGGGGAAGUGGUGUGUUUGCGUUGUUUGGGGAAGCGGUGUGUUUGUGUUGUGUUUGGGGAAGUGGUGUGUUUGCGUUGUGUUUGGGGAAGUGGUGUGUUUGCCUUGUUUGGGGAAGUGGUGUGUUUGCGUUGUUUGGGGAAGUGGUGUGUUUACAUUGUGCUUGGGGAAGUGGUGUGUUUGCGUUGUGUUUGGGGAAGUGGUGUGUUUGCGUUGUGUUUGGGGAAGUGGUGUGUUUGCGUUGUUUGGGGAAGUGGUGUGUUUGCGUUGUGUUUGGGGAAGUGGUGUGUUUGCGUUGUGUUUGGGGAAGUGGUGUGUUUGCGUUGUGUUUGGGGAAGUGGUGUGUUUGCGUUGUGUUUGGGGAAGUGGUGUGUUUGCAUUGUGUUUGGGGAAGUGGUGUGUUUGCGUUGUUUGGGGAAGUGGUGUGUUUGCGUUGUGUUUGGGGAAGUGGUGUGUUUGCGUUGUGUUUGGGGAAGUGGUGUGUUUGCGUUGUGUUUGGGGAAGUGGUGUGUUUGCGUUGUGUUUGGGGAAGCAGUGUGUGUGGUGUUUGGGGAAGUGGUGUGUUUGUGUUGUGUUUGGGGAAGUGGUGUGUUUGCGUUGUGUUUGGGGAAGUGGUGUGUUUGCAUUGUGUUUGGGGAAGUGGUGUGUUUGCCUUGUUUGGGGAAGUGGUGUGUUUGCGUUGUGUUUGGGGAAGUGGUGUGUUUGCGUUGUGUUUGGGGAAGUGGUGUGUUUGCGUUGUGUUUGGGGAAGUGGUGUGUUUGCGUUGUGUUUGGGGAAGCAGUGUGUGUGGUGUUUGGGGAAGUGGUGUGUUUGUGUUGUGUUUGGGGAAGUGGUGUGUUUGCGUUGUGUUUGGGGAAGUGGUGUGUUUGCCUUGUUUGGGGAAGUGGUGUGUUUGCAUUGUUUUUGGGGAAGUGGUGUGUUUGCCUUGUUUGGGGAAGUGGUGUGUUUGCGUUGUGUUUGGGGAAGUGGUGUGUUUGCCUUGUUUGGGGAAGUGGUGUGUUUGCAUUGUGUUUGGGGAAGUGGUGUGUUUGCGUGGUGUUUGGGGAAGUGGUGUGUUUGCGUGGUGUUUGGGGAAGUGGUGUGUUUGUGGUGUGUUUGGGGAAGUGGUGUGUUUGCGUUGUGUUUGGGGAAGUGGUGUGUUUGCGUUGUGUUUGGGGAAGUGGUGUGUUUGCGUGGUGUUUGGGGAAGUGGUGUGUUUGCGUCGUGUUUAAAGUGGCUUGAUGUUUCCAUGUUGCACGGCGGUCUCUGUCAUGCGAUCGUCACGCCUCAUUCUAAAACCGUAGAGAAUAUGCCAUUUAAAAGGUUAAAUUUUAAGUUGCCCUAA
ensembl:lncRNA